GAUUGACCUGACUAAUCUAAAACCUUCCACUUUUGCUGCCCGAUUAAGUCCCUUGUUGAGUUGGCAGUGUGUUUUGGAUCAUUGUCUUGCUGCUUGAUAAAUUCCUUCUGAUUAAUGUGGAAGUAUUUCUCUGUAAAUUUGCAGACAAAUUGUGCCCGUAAACUUCUGAAUUGAUUCUGCUGCUACCAUCAUGAGUUACAUCAUCAAUAAAGAUUAGUGAGACUGUUCCAGAAGCAGCCACGCAAGCCUGAGUCAUGAUACUACCACCACCAUGUUUCACAGAUGAGCUUCUUCAAAAUGGUUGCAUUUCUCCCAGAGACAGCGCUUCAUGAUGGCAACAAAUGCAGUCUUUAUAGGUGAAAGCGUAGACGGAGACAAGCGCUGGCGAGCGGAGAGAUGGC
ensembl:lncRNA